UUUUUUCCUCUCGUUUUCGUUGACGGGAGCAGACUAGCAGAGGAGAAAUUUCUCCUUCAGUGAAUCGGCCCUCUCCUCUGUCCUCUGCAUAUCGCCGCCGGCACCCUGAGUCCCACACGGCCAGACCCCAAUCGGCAAUCACCCACCCCACCCCACACCUUUCCCGGUUUCCCCUUCUUCUCCGUUUCUCCCUAGCGCCGCCCAGAGUCCAGACCGAAAUCGAGGAAACCUCUCCACGCCCUCGCCCUCGCCCUCGCCCUCGCCCUCGCCCUCGCCUCCUUCGGCUCUUGUCGGUCUUGCAACUUGCUCCUCCGUCGCAGUAAUGCAAUGAGCUCCUCCUCUGCUGCUGCUGCUGCUUCAUCAACUUCUUCUCAACUCGCUUCCUCCAAAGACGAAUUUUUCUGGGGCUGCCUUUUCGUCGCAAUCGGCUCUGUCUUCUUUGUCGGUUUUCUCUUUGCAGCUGUUGUGUCCAAGCUCCUUCCCCCGUCCAAUAACGCCCUGAUCUCCGCCAUUCAAAAUGACUGGUAUUACUGCUUCUUAGUGCCUCUGACUCUCCCUAUCCUUGUGGUUGCUGUAUAUUUUCAUUGGCUCAGUAUGAAAUUGUUCAAGCACGCGUGAUUUUUGCUUGAAGCCAUCAGGGAGUUCGACCUCUUCUGUAUAAGAUGCCAUGCUGUCUCUUUUGCAUGUAUGAGAGGUCCCAAACAUUUUAGCAGACGAAUCUUAUUUCUAAACUUUCCUUUCCUGGGCACAUUAACAUUGCAAAAGGAGGAUUUGAAGUUCGAUGAUUCGAUCCCUUGACAAUAGAAGCAUAGAUAUCCUGAUUAUGAAGGCAUUCAAAAGAAUAAUUGCAAAACAAUUUGUUCUGCACAGUAGCUAGAUGGCAUUACAUAUAAGUGAAUCAAGUGAUUAAAGAGAGAGAGA